rnacentral:siRNA from 1 species
UAAAGGUUUUAAAAGAUGUACAAG